ACUUAGUGGCGGACGGGUGAGUAACGCGUGGGUAACCUGGCCCAUACAGGGGGAUAACACUUAGAAAUAGGUGCUAAUACCGCAUAACAACAGAAAGCGCAUGCUUUUUGUUUGAAAACCAAGGUGGUAUGGGAUGGACCCGCGUCUGAUUAGCUGGUUGGCGGGGUAAAGGCCCACCAAGGCAACGAUCAGUAGCCGGCCUGAGAGGGUGGACGGCCACAUUGGGACUGAGACACGGCCCAGACUCCUACGGAAGGCAGCAG
rnacentral:rRNA from 1 species